GACGAACGCUGGCGGCGUGCCUAACACAUGCAAGUCGAGCGGAGUCGAUCGACGGAAGCCUUCGGGCGGAAGAUGGUUGACUUAGCGGCGGAUGGGUGAGUAACGCGUGGGCAACCUGCCUCGAAGACCGGGAUAACAGCCCGAAAGGGCUGCUAAUACCGGAUGUGGUCAAAGAUCCGCAUGGAUUUUUGAUUAAAGGGGAAACCCGUUUCGAGAUGGGCCCGCGUCCUAUCAGCUAGUUGGUGAGGUAAAAGCUCACCAAGGCGACGACGGGUAGCCGGCCUGAGAGGGUGACCGGCCACACUGGAACUGAGACACGGUCCAGACUCCUACGGGGGCAGCAGUGGGGAAUCUUCCACAAUGGGCGAAAGCCUGAUGGAGCGACGCCGCGUGAGCGAAGAAGGCCUUCGGGUUGUAAAGCUCUGUCUGGAGGGACGAAGGAAGUGACGGUACCUCCGGAGGAAGCCACGGCUAACUACGUGCCAGCAGCCGGGUAAUAGGUACUCUAU
rnacentral:rRNA from 1 species